CGUUAUUAUUACAAUUACUUUAAAUUGUAAUGCACUACAUUUUCCAUAUCUUCGCAGUAAUACAAAACACAGUCACUUGUAGAACUGGUUCAGAUUACUUAAAUACCAAGUGUGCUGUCACUCCUCUACACAAGUGUCUGGAAGUUACUCGUGUUUCUAUGAAAUGAAGCUAUUGAUACUUUUCUACAGCAGUAACUGCACACCAGGAAGGCG
rnacentral:lncRNA from 1 species